rnacentral:lncRNA from 1 species
CUCAACAUCACUACAACUUAACUAAAACUUAACAGAGGAACAUCAUUCCUACAACUUAACUAAAAUUGAAAGCAUCCAGCAUCAUAAUCAUCAUCAUUAUCAUCAUCAGUAUAUUUGCCACAUACCCAUAUAAUCAUCCAUUUAUCUUUUGAACCUACAAACAAAAAGCAAAAUGACUGUUAACACACAAUGCAUUAGCAAAAAACCAAAAAAAAACGAAUAACUUUCUGUGGUAAUGUAAGUGUAAUUAGAGAACGUGUAAUACAUUUUGAACAUCUCACAACGGGUCCUGUUAUGUCAUGGAUUCAGAUGAAAAAAAAGAUGGCCACUAUGGGAUGAUAAAACUGGAAACUCAAACUAAAAUAUUCCAAGGAAUAUUUAGAAGGGACCAUGUAUCUAUGUUUCUGUAGAAAGACGCGUUUUGGCUCCUGUAUAUGGAAUGAACACUUAAAAGGAGGACAUUUAUUUUGUUUUGGUGAUAUACAGAAGAUCCAUUGAAAUGUUCUAUAGACAACACAAAAGAGAUGACUGGUUUUUCCGUUUGGUCUACCAUUUUUACACCAUAAAAUGCGAGGCAGACAACCUGGAUUUCUGGUUCAUUUAUGUUGAAGAGUUUCCAAAGAAACCGAUUGUAAGACUUAACAAAUGCAUAUGUACGCAUAUGAAAUACAUGGUAUACAUACUCAUCUAGAAGAUAUAUUUUUCGCGCGUGAUACAUACAUGUAGCUUAAUUGUUUCCCUUUUAAAUAGUAUAUCAAACUCAUGGAUUAAUUAAUAGAUUUAUUUCGCUCGUACUGAUUUGAGAUGGUUUUGCUCUCUUUCGUAUACGGUCAAAACAAAAACAUAGAUUUAGAGCUUAAAAAAACAUAGAUCAUAUACUACACAUACCAAUAUCAAAAAAUGCGUGGCUGUGCAUAUACGUAUUGUAAGCAUCAUUAAUCCUCUUUUAGCUUAGCCCCACUGAAACUAAUCAUAUGAUCCAUGCUCUCCAAACUUAUAUGAGCUCCUCAUCCAUGCAUCAUGCAAAAAGGUGUAAAGUAGUAAAUAAGAUAUUGUCCUAGAAAUCAAACCUCUAGUCCAGUACGUGCGUGUAUAAAAUAGAACAGUAUGAAGCCAAUACCUACACACCUGGAGGCACGGGAUGCAGCCAAAGCGCAGAUGAGAAGUUCAUUCAGCCAUUAUACGUCCUCGGUCGGGGCUCUCAACUUGAUUAUCCUCUUCAUCGCCUGGGCUUUCGUCAGGUGAUCUGUAAUGAUGUGCUCAGUGAGCUUCCUUUUUUUGUUACUGACCUUUUCCUAUUAUGUGAAAAGGAAGAAUUGUGGAAAACAGGUUACACACUUUCAACAUGAAUCAGAAGCAUACAGCAUGAGUCUUUCCUUUAGUAUAUUUUCCAUUAUAUGAGAAUGGAAAUACAUGUAUGCAAGAUCAUAUUUUGUGCUUAACGAAAUAAAUGGAGACUCAACUUAUCUACUCACAAUGCGUGCCUAGUAACUGCACAUGUAUGUAUAACAUAUAUAUGAACUACAACAAACAUACAGUUUAGUAUCAUGGAUUCAGUCAGCGAAUUACAAAAACCAGAUCUUAAUUUCAUAACAGCUCUUCCUAAGCAAGUUCUAGCACCAUAAAUGUUCUUAAUUAUUUAGUACAUCAAUUUAACAAAAGAACGGCAUUAAAACAAACCAAGCAGACAAAUAUAUGAGGAAAGAGGUUAACUUAGAAUCAUUUUUUGAUCUCGCGUGUAGUUUCAAAUAAAUACUGUUACGGUGCCACUGCCACCUUGACCUCCUGAUGCAUAUACCUUCAAGUCUGCAAUAACACUAUCAAAGAUAUUCCAUCUGAACAGAGUAGUUUGUGCUUUUAAGCUGUGGAUCACUGGGUGAGGAUAAAAUUGAAAGAACAUUUCAAGUAAACAAACCCGUAC